rnacentral:rRNA from 1 species
GAAGGGGGGAUAACGUUCGGAAACGGACGCUAAUACCCCAUACGUCCUACGGGAGAAAGCAGGGGACCUUCGGGCCUUGCGCUAUCAGAUGAGCCUAGGUCGGAUUAGCUAGUUGGUGAGGUAAUGGCUCACCAAGGCGACGAUCCGUAACUGGUCUGAGAGGAUGAUCAGUCACACUGGAACUGAGACACGGUCCAGACUCCUACGGGAGGCAGCAGUGGGGAAUAUUGGACAAUGGGCGAAAGCCUGAUCCAGCCAUGCCGCGUGUGUGAAGAAGGUCUUCGGAUUGUAAAGCACUUUAAGUUGGGAGGAAGGGCAGUAAAUUAAUACUUUGCUGUUUUGACGUUACCGACAGAAUAAGCACCGGCUAACUCUGUGCCAGCAGCCGCGGUAAUACAGAGGGUGCAAGCGUUAAUCGGAAUUACUGGGCGUAAAGCGCGCGUAGGUGGUUUGUUAAGUUGGAUGUGAAAUCCCCGGGCUCAACCUGGGAACUGCAUUCAAAACUGACUGACUAGAGUAUGGUAGAGGGUGGUGGAAUUUCCUGUGUAGCGGCGAAAUGCGUAGAUAUAGGAAGGAACACCAGUGGCGAAGGCGACCACCUGGACUAAUACUGACACUGAGGUGCGAAAGCGUGGGGAGCAAACAGGAUUAGAUACCCUGGUAGUCCACGCCGUAAACGAUGUCAACUAGCCGUUGGAAGCCUUGAGCUUUUAGUGGCGCAGCUAACGCAUUAAGGUGACCGCCUGGGGAGUACGGCCGCAAGGUUAAAACUCAAAUGAAUUGACGGGGGCCCGCACAAGCGGUGGAGCGUGUGGUUUAAUUCGAAGCAACGCGAAGAACCUUACCAGGCCUUGACAUCCAAUGAACUUUCUAGAGAUAGAUUGGUGCCUUCGGGAACAUUGAGACAGGUGCUGCAUGGCUGUCGUCAGCUCCUGUCGUGANAUGUUGGGUUAAGUCCCGUAACGAGCGCAACCC